UACGUAGGCAGCAAGCGUUGUUCGGAGUUACUGGGCGUAAAGGGUGCGUAGGCGGUUGUUUAAGUUUGGUGUGAAAUCUCCCGGCUCAACUGGGAGGGUGCGCCGAAUACUGAAUGACUAGAGUGCGGGAGAGGAGAGUGGAAUUCCUGGUGUAGCGGUGAAAUGCGUAGAUAUCAGGAGGAACACCGGUGGUGUAGACGGCUCUCUGGACCGUAACUGACGCUGAGGCACGAAGGCCAGGGGAGCAAACGGG
rnacentral:rRNA from 1 species